UGCCCAGGAACUCCUAUCCCUACCUCCUCGCGGUACCGGCCGGAAACUAUGAGCAACCUUAGGGAAGAUCGGGUAGCCAACCCCGGUGGAAACUUUGGUCGUAGGCUGACAAGGAAGG
rfam:Aedes albopictus isolate Foshan contig105840, whole genome shotgun sequence.